CUCACCUGGAUUCUGGGAAUUUGGUGAGGGUGGCCAGGCUGCUGGUGUACAUGUGUCCCCCCACGUCGAUGUGUACGGGGGCGUUGGACUUGGUGAGCUGCGCUGGCGUGGGGAUGCCCUGGUUGCUCAAGGGGGACACAGGCGACCGUGUGAUCAUGGGCCUGGACAUGCUGGAGCGAUUAUCCUGAUAAGACAAGAGAAAGGCAAACGGCACCUGCCAAACGCGAGGACGUGGUUCGGUAGCACGGCUGGGAGAACGUGGCUGUCUGGCGAAGCAGCUCGCUUGCAAUGGCUGGGAGAAGUCAAAGCCCCCGACAACAUUAGCAUCGCAGCGCCCGGGGCUCUUCCAAUCGAGGCUGUCGCUCUUUCAGUGGCAGCAGAAGGCAAGGGGAGCUGCAGGGCAAACGGGAGAGAAAUCACAUGGCUGCUCUUCAAAAGGGGACCUGUGUAAGGCAGCCGGCAAAGUGCGUGGGAUCACACUCAGAAUGCAGGCUUGGCACCAGCUGAAAAGACGCCAUUGAUGGAGGACCAAACAUUCAUCUGCUUCCUCCUGACCUGUUACCUCGCUUCUACAGAUAAGUUUGUACAUCAAAAAGUUUGUGUUUUUACCGUACAUUUAGAUAUGUGGGCGUUCCUCUUGACAGUUUUUUUUAAUAUAAAUAACUGCCAAUUAUAAAAAAGUCUUGACAUAAUUCUCAUAAUCAAAGCACGCAGUAGGCUGGCUCACGUGCAGGUACAUAUAUGUGAACUGAAUGUAAUCACUGGGGUACUUUUCCCACCAGUUAUUAAUUGAUCACUGCCACCUCUCAAAAUAGAAAGACUCAAAAUCAUCCAUUAGUAAAAACUACAGUAUGCUUUCUCAUGCAUGUGUACUACAGACAUGGACGAUCGCUCAUGCUUUGAUGUGCUAUGUUCAUGUCGGGUAAUUAAUGCACCCAAUAUGUGCCACGUUGCGUAAUAAACAUAUACAACAAAGUCGCCAUGGGCAUGUGACUAUGUGUGCUAUGCACCGCUCCACAGCCAUCCAUUUUCUGUACCGCUUAUCGUCACUAGGUUCAUGGGUAUACUGGAGCCUAUCCCAGUUGUCUUUGGCCAAGAGGCGGGGUACACCCUGGACUGGUCGCCAACCAAUCACAGGGCACAUAUAGACAAACAACCAUUCACACUCACAUACAUACCUAAGGACCACUCAUUACACAUAAUUAAUACUAAUAAAAAGUAACGGGAACUACUCGAAAUAAGCCAGAAAGUCACAGCCUACAGUAUUUAUUAAUACUAACCAUCACCAGAAAUAAACAGAACAAGUAAAGAAAGUUGCAACAAUCUCUCAAAUGUGAAUUUUCUUUAUAUCCUCAAUGAUUCAUGAGAGCACCUAUUAUAUUAUGUUUUUUUUUGCCUCUAUUCUUAUAUGUUGAGGACCAAACCACUAACUGUUUGUUUGGAUCAUAUUGAUUUGGUCUGACUAGAACAGGGGUCUUUAAUUGAAAUUGAUUAAGGUCUGUUUAUGCAAUUUAUUUCACUGGGCCAUAUUUACUUUAAAAUUGCAUGAAGCAGAGUAGUUCAUGUGAAUAUCAAAUGUAAUAAAACUCUGCACAUCACCCUAAAAGUGCUUUUCAAAUAACAGGGGGGCGUGAGGCAGGGAGGACUUUCAAUAUUAGUGUAGACUUGCCAACAUGUAGUAUGAAUAAUGUCGUACUCAGCAUGCAAUUUAAAUAUGCUUGUACCUGGAUGCUCUACUGCUCUCAAUUUUGUUGCAUUUUGCUGGUUUCAGUUUCAAGUUCAGUCUGUAUAGUACAAAUAAAUAAACAGACAUUAUCAGUUUCUAAAUAGUAUUUAAAAAAUAGGGGGUACGAAAAUAUUUCUGUCCUCCCAGUGGGGGCAUGACCUAAAGUAAUUAAGAACCACUGCUCUACAAGACAUAUUUUGGCAUCUAAAUUGCAUUUAGUAGAAAAACAAAUUUCACAUAAUAAGUCUGCCUGUGGGCGGCACGGCGGUCGAGUGGUUAGCGCUCACAGCUAGAAGACCAGGGUUCAAUUCCACCCUCUGCCAUCUCUGUGUGGAGUUUGCAUGUUCUCCCCGUGCAUGCGUGGGUUUUCUCUGGGUACUCCGGUUUCCUCCCACAUUCCAAAAACAUGCUAGGUUAAUUGGCUACUCCAAAUUGUCCAUAGGUAUGAAUGUGAGUGUGAAUGGUUGUUUGUCUAUAUGUGCCCUGUGAUUGGCUGGCGACCGGUCCGGGGUGUACCACGCCUCUCGCCCGAAGACAGCUGGGAUAGGCUCCAGCAACCCCCGCGACCCUCGUGAGGACAAGCAGUAGAAGAUGAAUGAAUGAAUAUUUGAACAUUAUGGCAUAGGCCGCACGGUGGUGAUUGGUUAGCAUGUAGGCACCACAGUCAGGAAGACCUGUGUUCGAUUCUCCACUUGGGCAUGUUGUGGAAAAUUUCUAUUAGCACCGGUGGAGAGAAGAAAUUAACUGCUCAACGACAGAUCUGUUUUUUAUGGGUAUUUAUUCUGCAGAAUGUUGAAACAGACAGUUGAGCGUCUGCCGCAAGUGUCCCCCCGAAGGACAGGACAGAAGCAUAGUUAUACAAACAUUAUCAGGACUUUACCAGGUGCAAGGACAUAUCCCGGGUUAAUCAGAACCUAUUGACACGAAAAACGCCAUUGGAGAAACUUGUUUUGGAUGCAGAGGGGCUCAAGGCACAAGCAAAUAGUCAUAAGACAGCAUUGGUUGUUCUGCUAGGAAAUCACUCUAACCUUGAUGAGCACAUUAACUGACCUAAUGCUAAAAUAGAAGAAUUCCAUCACAGGCAUCUCUGUGUGGAGUUUGCAUGUUCUCCUUGUGCAUGCGUGGGUUUUCUCCGGGUACUCCGGUUUCCUCCCACAUUCCAAAAACAUGCUAGGUUAAUUGGUGACUCCAAAUUGUCCAUAGGUAUGAAUG